UACGAAGGGUGCGAGCGUUGUUCGGAAUUACUGGGCGUAAAGGGUUUGUAGGCUGAAAUGUAAGUCAAGUGUGAAAUCCCCGAGCUAAACUUGGGACGUGCAUUUGAAACUGUGUUUCUUGAGUAUCGUAGAGGGUGGUGGAAUUGCAGGUGUAGGAGUGACAUCCGUAGAGAUCUGCAGGAACAUCGGAGGCGAAGGCGACCACCUGGCCGAUUACUGACGCUGAGGAACGAAAGCGUGGGGAGCAAACAGG
rnacentral:rRNA from 1 species